CGCUGGCGGCGUGCCUAAUACAUGCAAGUAGAACGCUGAAGAGAGGAGCUUGCUCUUCUUGGAUGAGUUGCGAACGGGUGAGUAACGCGUAGGUAACCUGCCUUGUAGCGGGGGAUAACUAUUGGAAACGAUAGCUAAUACCGCAUAACAAUGGAUGACACAUGUCAUUUAUUUGAAAGGGGCAAAUGCUCCACUACAAGAUGGACCUGCGUUGUAUUAGCUAGUAGGUGAGGUAACGGCUCACCUAGGCGACGAUACAUAGCCGACCUGAGAGGGUGAUCGGCCACACUGGGACUGAGACGCGGCCCAGACUCCUACGGGAGGCAGCAGUAGGGAAUCUUCGGCAAUGGGGGCAACCCUGACCGAGCAACGCCGCGUGAGUGAAGAAGGUUUUCGGAUCGUAAAGCUCUGUUGUAAGUCAAGAACGAGUGUGAGAGUGGAAAGUUCACACUGUGACGGUAGCUUACCAGAAAGGGACGGCUAACUACGUGCCAGCAGCCGCGGUAAUACGUAGGUCCCGAGCGUUGUCCGGAUUUAUUGGGCGUAAAGCGAGCGCAGGCGGUUUGAUAAGUCUGAAGUUAAAGGCUGUGGCUCAACCAUAGUUCGCUUUGGAAACUGUCAAACUUGAGUGCAGAAGGGGAGAGUGGAAUUCCAUGUGUAGCGGUGAAAUGCGUAGAUAUAUGGAGGAACACCGGUGGCGAAGGCGGCUCUCUGGUCUGUAACUGACGCUGAGGCUCGAAAGCGUGGGGAGCGAACAGGAUUAGAUACCCUGGUAGUCCACGCCGUAAACGAUGAGUGCUAGGUGUUGGAUCCUUUCCGGGAUUCAGUGCCGCAGCUAACGCAUUAAGCACUCCGCCUGGGGAGUACGACCGCAAGGUUGAAAUUCAAAGGAAUUGACGGGGGCCCGCACAAGCGGUGGAGCAUGUGGUUUAAUUGGAAGCAACGCGAAGACCCUUACCAGGUCUUGACAUCCCGAUGCUAUUUGUAGAGAUAGAAAGUUAGUUAGGUACAUCGGUGACAGGUGGUGCAUGGUUGUUGUCAGCUCGUGUCGUGAGAUGUUGGGUUAAGUCCCGCAACGAGCGCAACCCCUAUUGUUAGUUGCCAUCAUUCAGUUGGGCACUCUAGCGAGACUGCCGGUAAUAAACCGGAGGAAGGUGGGGAUGACGUCAAAUCAUCAUGCCCCUUAUGACCUGGGCUACACACGUGAUACAAUGGUUGGUACAACGAGUUGCGAGUCGGUGACGGCAAGCUAAUCUCUUAAAGCCAAUCUCAGUUCGGAUUGUAGUCUGCAACUCGCCUACAUGAAGUCGGAAUCGCUAGUAAUCGCGGAUCAGCACGCCGCGGUGAAUACGUUCCCGGGCCUUGUACACACCGCCCGUCACACCACGAGAGUUUGUAACACCCGAAGUCGGUGAGGUAACCUUUUGGAGCCAGCCGCCUAAGGUGGGAUAGAUGAUUG
rnacentral:rRNA from 1 species